rnacentral:rRNA from 1 species
GACGAACGCUGGCGGCGUGCUUAACACAUGCAAGUCGAACGGAAAGGCCCUGCUUUUGUGGGGUGCUCGAGUGGCGAACGGGUGAGUAACACGUGAGUAACCUGCCCUUGACUUUGGGAUAACUUCAGGAAACUGGGGCUAAUACCGGAUAGGAGCUCCUGCUUCAUGGUGGGGGUUGGAAAGUUUCGGCGGUUGGGGAUGGACUCGCGGCUUAUCAGCUUGUUGGUGGGGUAGUGGCUUACCAAGGCUUUGACGGGUAGCCGGCCUGAGAGGGUGACCGGCCACAUUGAGACUGAGAUACGGCCCAGAAUCCUACGGGAGGCAGAAGUGGGGAAUAUUGCACAAUAGGCGGAAGCCUGAUGCAGCAACGCCGCGUGCGGGAUGACGGCCUUCGGGUUGUAAACCGCUUUCGCAUGUGACGAAGCGUGAGUGACGGUAAUGGGUAAAGAAGCACCGGCUAAUUACGUG